AGAUGAUGAUGAUGAUGAUGAAACAGAAUCAGUAAGAAGCUUCUUCUUCUUAGGAGGAGGAGGAAGAUUGGUUUCAUCAUCAUCACCAGUUGAA